rnacentral:rRNA from 1 species
UACAGAGGGUGCGAGCGUUAAUCGGAAUUACUGGGCGUAAAGCGCGCGUAGGCGGCUUUGCAAGUCGGGUGUGAAAUCCCCAGGCUUAACCUGGGAACUGCAUUCGAGACUGCAUUGCUAGAGUAUGGGAGAGGGAAGUGGAAUUUCCGGUGUAGCGGUGAAAUGCGCAGAUAUCAGGGGGAACACCGGUGGCGAAGGCGGGUCUCUGGGCAACAACUGACGCUGAGGAGCGAAAGCGUGGGGAGCGAACAGG